GAUGAACGCUGGCGGCGUGCCUAAUACAUGCCAGUCGAGCGAACGGACGAGAAGCUUUCUUCUCUGCUGUUAGCGGCGGACGGGUGAGUAACACGUGGAUAACCUACCUAUAAGACUUGGAUAACUUCGGGAAACCGUAGCUAAUACCGGAUCAUAUUUUGAACCGCAUGGUUCAAAAGUGAAAGACGGUCUUGCUGUCACUUAUAGAUGGAUCCGCGCUGCAUUAGCUAGUUGGUAAGGUAACGGCUUACCAAGGCAACGAUGCAUAGCCGACCUGAGAGGGUGAUCGGCCACACUGGAACUGAGACACGGUCCAGACUCCAACGGGAGGCAGCAGUAGGGAAUCUUCCGCAAUGGGCGAAAGCCUGACGGAGCAACGCCGCGUGAGUGAUGAAGGUCUUCGGAUCGUAAAACUCUGUUAUUAGGGAAGAACAUAUGUGUAAGUAACUGUGCACAUCUUGACGGUACCUAAUCAGAAAGCCACGGCUAACUACGUG
rnacentral:rRNA from 1 species